GCCACUCCCACAAAUGUCUACGACCGCACAUGCAUAUAUUUGCAUGUUUAGAAUUCUAAUUUUAUCCGGUUCUUGGCAACAAUUACAAUUAAACGUCGAUUGGCUGUUUAAUUAAAAUUAUAAUUCUAAACAUGCAAAAAUAUGUAGGUGCGGUCGUAGACGUUUGUGGGAGUGGC